rnacentral:rRNA from 1 species
GUGUGCCCUUUUCGUCAUCCGAGUCGGAUAUUGGGCGUAGGGCUCGCAGGCGGUUUCUUAAGUCUGAUGUGAAAGCCCCCGGCUCAACCGGGGAGGGUCAUUGGAAACUGGGGAACUUGAGUGCAGAAGAGGAGAGUGGAAUUCCACGUGUAGCGGUGAAAUGCGUAGAGAUGUGGAGGAACACCAGUGGCGAAGGCGACUCUCUGGUCUGUAACUGACGCUGAGGAGCGAAAGCGUGGGGAGCGAACAGGAUUAGAUACCCCCGUAGUCCA